GGGGUUAUAGUUAAAUUAACAUUUAUUUUGCAAGUAAAAAAUACUGAAUUAAUACAGUUAUCCUCA
rnacentral:tRNA from 1 species